AAAAAAGCAAACCUUAAAUUUCCGUGUUCAACGUUUGACUCCGUCUUAUAUAAUUUUUUUUAUAAUUAGUAUUUUUAUUGGUGUUAGAUGAUAAAACAUAAUUAAUACUUUAUACGUGACUUGUCUUUUUAAUUUUUUUCAUAAUUUUUUUAAAUAAGACGAACGGUCAAACGUUGGACAUGAAAAUCUAGGUUUGUCUUUUUC
rfam:Oryza barthii chromosome 2, whole genome shotgun sequence.